CCAAGAGCGACCACCUGUGUUGGAUGACCAUGGCAAAGUAUGCACAUAUGUCUUUCAUCAUUAUGGUCCUUGUUCUACGCGCCAGCUUCAAAGCCCAAGGACAACUAGGACCGACGGACACACACAACAUCACCGAGUACAUCCCAUUGGAGUUCACAAAGACUUUUUUCCAGACCCACGGAAUACAUCCCUCCGAUACAUCGAUUGCGUUUAAAAGGUGUAGGCCGUGCCCCUGCUGCCCAAAGGAUCCCAAGAAACCAUGUAUUGAAGCACCAAGCUGUUGCUAUCAGAUAAACUGCAAUGAUCCUGGGCAACCACUUGGUACUUGUACUGAACGCGCGUUCUCCUGUAAUUGUGACAAUAGUUGCAAGUGAUCAAGUGUUUCCCUUAAAAAAACUGUUUUUGUUUUCCCGCAAAAAAAACUGUUUUUAGUUA